rnacentral:rRNA from 1 species
AGUAUUAGGCAAAUCCGGUACUCGUUAAGGCUGAGCUGUGAUGGGGAGAAGACAUUGUGUCUUCGAGUCGUUGAUUUCACACUGCCGAGAAAAGCCUCUAGAUAGAAAAUAGGUGCCCGUACCGCAAACCGACACAGGUAGUCAAGAUGAGAAUUCUAAGGUGAGCGAGCGAACUCUCGUUAAGGAACUCGGCAAAAUGACCCCGUAACUUCGGGAGAAGGGGUGCUCUUUAG